GACAGAGGGUGCAAACGUUGUUCGGAAUUACUGGGCGUAAAGCGCGUGUAGGCGGCUAAGUAAGUCGGGCGUGAAAUCCCACGGCUCAACCGUGGAAGUGCACUCGAAACUGCAUAGCUAGAGUCCUGGAGAGGAAGGUGGAAUGCUUGGUGUAGAGGUGAAAUUCGUAGAUAUCGGGAGGAACACCAGUGGCGAAGGCGGCGAUCUGGGAAGAUACUGACGCUGAGGUGCGAAAGCGUGGGGAGCAAACAGG
rnacentral:rRNA from 1 species